rnacentral:rRNA from 1 species
GAUGAACGCUGGCGGCGUGCUUAACACAUGCAAGUCGAACGGAAAGCUCUUGCUUGCAGUGGUACUCGAGGGUCGAAGGGGGGAGAAAGACGUGGUUAAACUGCCCUGCACUUCGGGCUAAUCCGGGGUAAGUGGGUGUAAUACGGGAUAAUUCGAGGGAGGGCUUGCGGUUGGGGAAUGUUUGUGCGGUGGGGGUUGAGCUGGGGGGCGAUCAGCUUGUUGGUGGAGUGAUGGUCUGUCAAGGCGUCGACGGGUAGCGGGCCUGCGGGGGUGUACGGCCACAUUGGGCCUGAGAUACGGGCCAGCAGCCGACGGGAGGCAGCAGUGGGGAAUAGUGCACAAAGGGCGCAAGCCUGAUGCAGCGACGCCGGGUGGGGGAUGACGGCCUUCGGGUGGUAAACUCCUUGCGCUCGGGAUGGAGCGGUAGUGACGGUACCUGGAGAAGAAGCACCGGCUAACUACGUG